rnacentral:lncRNA from 1 species
GGGUCUUUGGAUUACAUUAUUUAAUUAAUAUACUUUUGGUAUUUCUAUAAAAUGUUUUCCUUUUUUUCUUCCCCAGCAACUCGUUUUCAUCCUGUUGGUUUCAUCUUAAUGCCAACAUCAUGUCUGGUUCUAAUGGUGCCAAAGAUAAUUCCCAUAACAAGGCCCGGACAUCUCCUUAUCCAGGUUCAAAAGUUGAACGCAGCCAGGUUCCUAAUGAAAAAGUGGGCUGGCUUGUGGAGUGGCAAGACUACAACCCUGUGGAAUAUACUGCAGUUUCUGUCUUGGCAGGACCCAGGUGGGCGGAUCCUCAAAUCAGUGAAAGCAGCUUUUCUCCCAAGUUUAAUGAAAAGGAUGGGCAUGUCGAGAGAAAGAGCCAGAAUGGCCUGUAUGAGAUUGAAAAUGGAAGACCUAGAAAUCCUGCAGGGCGGACAGGACUGGUUGGCCGGGGGCUUUUGGGAAGAUGGGGUCCAAAUCAUGCUGCAGAUCCAAUUAUAACCAGGUAAGAACUGUAGCUACAUGUGUAUGUUUGUAAAUUACACACAUGUGUAUGUGUAUAUGCCUGUGUGUUUGGAUAUGCAGUUGUAUGUGCAGG